GGAUGUGAGGGCGAUCUGGCUGCGACACCUGUCACCCCACUGAUCACCAGGGUUCAUUCGGUUGGUCUGGCUGGCUAGGCGGGUGUCCCCUUCCUCCCUCACCGCUCCAUGUGCGUCACUCCCGAAGCUGCGUCGAAGAGGACGGCCUUCCCCUGAAUAGAGAUGGACCAGUCUUCGGUCGAGGGUAUACUGCGCUCCCCUGCUAGACCCUCCAAACAAGCUCUCAAUCUGUUUUCACCUUGAGUCUUAGAUAAAAGACAUGCGACUGCUAGAUAAUACUCACUUUGUCAAGCGGGCCUCUUUCA
ensembl:misc_RNA 7SK 7SK RNA